UAAAAAUAUAUUAAUUUUUUUUAUUUAAAUUUAAUAAUAUAAUUUAAAAAUAUAAGUAAAAUUUAAUAGGGGAAAAAUUUAAAUAAUUUUAAUUUUUAAAUUAAUAAUAUUUAAUUUUUUAAUUUAAAUGAAAUUUUAUAAAAGAUAAUUAUUUUUUUAUUAAUAAAUAAAGUGCCAGCAAUUGCGGUUAAACUUUAAAUGAAAUUAAAUUUUAUAUAAAAUUAAUUAAAUUAUAUUUAAAAAAAAUUAAUUAAAAAUAUUAAAAAUAAAAUUUUUAUGGUGAAAUAUAAAUAAAAUUAAAAAUUAAUAUUAGAUAAUUACUUUAAAGUAUAAUUUAUAAAAAAUUUAUAAAUAGAUUAGGAUUAGAUAUCCUAGUAUUAAUAUUAAUAUUUCAUUAAAUUAAAUAAUAAAUGUUAAAUCAUUAAAAAAUAAAAAAUUUGGCGGUAUUUUAUAAAAUUAAAGGGAUUUGUAAAUUAAUUUGAUAAUCCACGAAUAGAAGUAUUUAAUUUAACUUUAUAUAUUGUUGUUGAAAAAUUAUAUAAUUAAAUAUUAAUUUAAUUAUUAAAUUUUAAUAAUAAUUCAAAUCAAAAUGUAGAUUAAUUAAAUUAUUAUGAAUCACAAUUAAUUUAAUUAAUGGAAAAUAAAAUUUUAAUAUUUAUUAAAAAAUGAAUUUAAAUGUAAAUUUGUAAAAAUUUAUAAAUUGAAUUAAUUUUAAAAUAUGUACAAAUUGCCCGUCAUUUUUAUUUAAAUAAUAGAGAAAGUCGUAACAAAGUAAAUAUAUUGGAAAAUGUAUUUAGAUUAAA
rnacentral:rRNA from 1 species